rnacentral:misc_RNA from 1 species
UCGAGUUAUGAUAAUUCAUUAUCAAACUUCAUCCUAUGUUUACAUACUUUGUAUACUUUGGCAAGACGCUUUGACUUGUAGUUGAGUUUAAUUAGUACUCCUAAUGAAGCGACGCCACAAGAAAAAGCCACUGACGUUCCUUCAAGAACUGUGAGUGUGUUUGCUUGCCAAAGGUUUAACUCUUUUAUACUGUUGUCUGAGUACUACAAAAAUAAAUUA